rnacentral:rRNA from 1 species
UACGAGGGGGCGAGCGUUGUUCGGAUUCAUUGGGCGUAAAGGGUGCGUAGGUGGCGCGGUAAGUCGGGUGUGAAAUUUCGGAGCUUAACUCCGAAACUGCAUUCGAUACUGCCGUGCUUGAGGACUGGAGAGGAGACUGGAAUUUACGGUGUAGCGGUGAAAUGCGUAGAUAUCGUAAGGAAGACCAGUGGCGAAGGCGGGUCUCGUGGACAGUUCCUGACGCUGAGGCACGAAGGCCAGGGGAGCAAACGGG